rnacentral:rRNA from 1 species
GUACACUCCUGCGGGAGGCAGCAGUGGGGAAUAUUGGACAAUGGGCGCAAGCCUGAUCCAGCCAUGCCGCGUGAGUGAUGAAGGCCCUAGGGUUGUAAAGCUCUUUCACCGGUGAAGAUAAUGACGGUAACCGGAGAAGAAGCCCCGGCUAACUUCGUGCCAGCAGCCGCGGUAAUACGAAGGGGGCUAGCGUUGUUCGGAUUUACUGGGCGUAAAGCGCACGUAGGCGGACUAUUAAGUCAGGGGUGAAAUCCCGGGGCUCAACCCCGGAACUGCCUUUGAUACUGGUAGUCUUGAGUUCGAGAGAGGUGAGUGGAAUUCCGAGUGUAGAGGUGAAAUUCGUAGAUAUUCGGAGGAACACCAGUGGCGAAGGCGGCUCACUGGCUCGAUACUGACGCUGAGGUGCGAAAGCGUGGGGAGCAAACAGGAUUAGAUACCCUAGUAGUCCCAU